rfam:Branchiostoma floridae genomic scaffold BRAFLscaffold_174, whole genome shotgun sequence.
AACCCGGCCCUUUUCAGGGCCAACAAAUCGUCUUAAAAGAGCUGU